rnacentral:rRNA from 1 species
UGGGGAAUAUUGCACAAUGGGCGGAAGCCUGAUGCAGCGACGCCGCGUGGGGGAUGAAGGCCUUCGGGUUGUAAACUCCUUUCGACAGGGACGAAGCUUUUGUGACGGUACCUGUAUAAGAAGCACCGGCUAACUACGUGCCAGCAGCCGCGGUAAUACGUAGGGUGCGAGCGUUGUCCGGAAUUACUGGGCGUAAAGAGCUCGUAGGUGGUUUGUCGCGUCGUCUGUGAAAUUCCGGGGCUUAACUCCGGGCGUGCAGGCGAUACGGGCUGACUUGAGUGCUGUAGGGGAGACUGGAAUUCCUGGUGUAGCGGUGAAAUGCGCAGAUAUCAGGAGGAACACCGAUGGCGAAGGAAGGUCUCUGGGCAGUAACUGACGCUGAGGAGCGAAAGCAUGGGUAGCGAACAGG